UUGGGUCGGGUCAGACGGCCCAAGAGGAAAAGUAAAUUGGGCUCAGACCAAUGCACUCAUCACAGCCCACAUUACAAUGUAUAUCAGAAAUAUACAAUAGGUAUACAAUGGAUAUACAAUGGAUACAAUCAUUUAUGCUUAGGUUUGGAGGCCAUAUAAUCCUUCAGCUCAACACCCCCCCUCAAGUUGGAGGGGAAACCACCUUCAACUUGGACAACAGCGGAUAGAGCACAGUUCCAGGUAAUGGCUUAGUGAGCAGGUCAGCCAGUUGACGAGAAGUAGGAACAUGAAACAACUGAAGAAAACCAUUCAGUAGCUGAUCCCGAACAAAGUGACAGUCCACCUCGAUGGGGCUUAGUGAGCAGGUUAGCUAGUUGACGAGAAGUAGGAACAUGAAACAACUGAAGAAAACCAUUCUAGAGCUGAUCCCGAACAAAAUGACAGUCCACCUCGAUGUGUUUGAUACGCUCAUGGAAAACAGGAUUGUUGACUAUAUGGACAGCAGCCUGGCUGUCACAAUACACAGAAAAAGGAAGAGAAACAGAUACUCCAAGAUUAACCAAUAAGCGAGACAGCCAAGAUAACUUAGCAAGAACUUUGCUGAGGGCUCUAUAUUCUGCCUCAGCAGAGGACAAAGAAACAACAGGCUGCUUCUUAGAUUUCCAACUAAUCAGGCAACCACCCAAUAGCACACAGAAUCCAGUAACAGAUCUCCUAGUAUCAGGGAAUGCAGCCCAGUCACUAUUAGAAUAACCAACAAUAGAGAAAUCAUCACUGGCAGAAUAAAAGAGACCCAUAGAAGGAGUGCCUUUAAGGUAUCUCAAAACAUGUAGGGCAGCAGUCAUAUGGGGANN
rnacentral:lncRNA from 1 species